UAGAAGGACAGAAUAUGGGUCACAUCUGACCCUGCUCCAGAGACUUUAGUCAAGUGUUGUGGGAAGGCACUCAAAGAGCCAAGGUCUAGCUUGGAAGGACUCCAUCUUGGGAGGAAGAAUGAACAUACUUGCAAAACACACGUGAACAAUUUAAAGAAAAGCCAUGAAGAAAUGCAACAGUAAGGAAGGUAUCUUCAGAGGACACACUUGGCCCCACUGUUGGCCUGCCCCAGCACCCCACUGUAUAGAGCAGGGAGAUCAAAAACCAUCUGGGGAGACUUAGCAUGCAGAAGAGGAAGGAUGUCAACCAGACUCUCCUCUGAGUGGGUUUGGAAAGUUACAUGACUUCAUUUGCUUCAUUAGCUUCCUAGAAAGCUCUGAGACCAACGAACAGCUCAUUUCCAAUAAAUGGGGAGAAACUUA